rnacentral:lncRNA from 13 species
CUCAGAAGAAAGAGAAAAAGAGCUAAUCAUGCUAGCCUGAUACUAAAGCCAGAGACUUUGAUGGUUGUUGCUAUUGCUGCUUCCAGAAGAGUGAUGUGCUGGGCACACAGGUGAUCUUGUGCUGGGCACACAGGUGAUCUUGUACUGAGCCUUGAAGACGCUGGGAGCAGCCAGCUUUAGCACACACCAUUGCUUGGAACCUCACAAAUGGGGAGGACUAUGAUACGGAUUGUUAGCCUGAGAGCAGUGCCGUAUUCCAUCAGGAUGCACAAACCAGUAUUCUGGAGGAACAAUACACAUCUGGAAUCAGGUUUACAGCUCUUCAGCAGCCCUCAGAUUUGCAGAUACACCAAUAUCUGACUUGCUGGAAGGUUUCAUGGCAUGUGAUUCUGGCACUGAGGAAUAAAUGCCUCUGAUUUUCCUACUCUUAUUUUUCCUGGUCUUUGGCGUCAGGAAUGAGGGAGACAGAUGCCACCUCUCCAUCCAGCUUCAGGGAGGACUGGGGGAACCAGCAAGAUCCAGAAUUCCUGUUGCUGAAAGGUGUUGGAUUGACAACCCCAGUGAAUAAAAUCAUCUCAUCAUCUCUCUAUCAAAAGGGUAGGAGAAGAACAGCUUCUCACACAGGGCUCUGCCCUUAUUCCUCAGCCAGGGCCAGCAGUGAGGAUGCCAGCCCUUGGCAUCUUCUGAGCAUGCCAGCUGAUGUAGAGCAGGGCUAUGAAUAUGGAAUCUCUGAGAACUUUCUGCAAA